UAUCGAAUCAAUUCAAAUUUC
rnacentral:piRNA from 1 species